rnacentral:rRNA from 1 species
CGAGAAAGUGGAGCAUCCAUGAGUACUGUGGCGAACGGGUGAGUAACACGUGACUAACCUGCCUUCGAGUGGGGGAUAACCUCGGGAAACCGGGGCUAAUACCGCAUAAGAUCCUGAGGGUGCAAUUCCCAUGGGACCAAAGGGGUAAGACGCUUGAAGAGGGGGUCGCGGCUGAUUAGCUAGUUGGUGAGGUAAUGGCUCACCAAGGCGAAGAUCGGUAGCCGGCCUGAGAGGGCGCACGGCCACACUGGAACUGAAACACGGUCCAGACUCCUACGGGAGGCAGCAGUGGGGAAUUUUGCGCAAUGGGGGAAACCCUGACGCAGCAACGCCGCGUGGAGGAUGAAGCCCUUUGGGGCGUAAACUCCUUUCGAUCGGGACGAUUAUGACGGUACCGGAUGAAGAAGCACCGGCUAACUCUGUGCCAGCAGCCGCGGUAAUACAGAGGGUGCAAGCGUUGUUCGGAAUUAUUGGGCGUAAAGGGCGCGUAGGCGGUGCGGUAAGUCACCUGUGAAACCUCUGGGCUUAACUCAGAGCCUGCAGGCGAAACUGACGUGCUUGAGUGUGGGAGAGGUGCGUGGAAUUCCCGGUGUAG